rnacentral:rRNA from 1 species
UACGAAGGGGGCUAGCGUUGCUCGGAAUCACUGGGCGUAAAGCGCACGUAGGCGGACUCUUAAGUCAGGGGUGAAAUCCUGGAGCUCAACUCCAGAACUGCCUUUGAUACUGGGAGUCUUGAGUUCGGGAGAGGUGAGUGGAACUGCGAGUGUAGAGGUGAAAUUCGUAGAUAUUCGCAAGAACACCAGUGGCGAAGGCGGCUUCACUGGUCCGGUCUGACGCUGAGGCUGCGAAAGCGUGGGGAGCAAACAGGG